rnacentral:rRNA from 2 species
GGCGUCCUUCUACAUGCAAGUCGAAGCGAACUGAUUAAGAAAGCUUGCUUCUAUGACGUUAGCGGCGGACGGGUGAGUAACACGUGGGCAACCUGCCUGUAAGACUGGGAUAACUUCGGGAAACCGAAGCUAAUACCGGAUAGGAUCUUCUCCUUCAUGGGAGAUGAUUGAAAGAUGGUUUCGGCUAUCACUUACAGAUGGGCCCGCGGUGCAUUAGCUAGUUGGUGAGGUAACGGCUCACCAAGGCAACGAUGCAUAGCCGACCUGAGAGGGUGAUCGGCCACACUGGGACUGAGACACGGCCCAGACUCCUACGGGAGGCAGCAGUAGGGAAUCUUCCGCAAUGGACGAAAGUCUGACGGAGCAACGCCGCGUGAGUGAUGAAGGCUUUCGGGUCGUAAAACUCUGUUGUUAGGGAAGAACAAGUACGAGAGUAACUGCUCGUACCUUGACGGUACCUAACCAGAAAGCCACGGCUAACUACGUGCCAGCAGCCGCGGUAAUACGUAGGUGGCAAGCGUUAUCCGGAAUUAUUGGGCGUAAAGCGCGCGCAGGCGGUUUCUUAAGUCUGAUGUGAAAGCCCACGGCUCAACCGUGGAGGGUCAUUGGAAACUGGGGAACUUGAGUGCAGAAGAGAAAAGCGGAAUUCCACGUGUAGCGGUGAAAUGCGUAGAGAUGUGGAGGAACACCAGUGGCGAAGGCGGCUUUUUGGUCUGUAACUGACGCUGAGGCGCGAAAGC